rnacentral:rRNA from 1 species
AUUGAACGCUGGCGGCAGGCCUAACACAUGCAAGUCGAGCGCGAAAGUUCUUCGGAAUGAGUAAAGCGGCGGACGGGUGAGUAAUACAUGGGAAUCUGCCUGGUAGUGGGGGACAACGUUUCGAAAGGAACGCUAAUACCGCAUACGCCCUACGGGGAAAGGGGGGGAGUCUUCGGACCUCUCGCUAUCAGAUGAGCCCA